CCUGCCCCUACAGGCAUUGUAGGUGUGACUGCUGUAUCACAUGUGGGUCAGUAGGUAACAGAGAGGAGAGAGGUUGUGUUUUGCUCAGUGUUCUGAUCUGUGAACAAUGAUUAGUACCUUAACAGU